AGUGAACGCUGGCGGUAGGCCUAACACAUGCAAGUCGAACGGCAGCACAGUAAGGGCUUGCUCUUACGGGUGGCGAGUGGCGGACGGGUGAGGAAUACAUCGGAAUCUACUUUUUCGUGGGGGAUAACGUAGGGAAACUUACGCUAAUACCGCAUACGACCUACGGGUGAAAGCAGGGGAUCUUCGGACCUUGCGCGAUUGAAUGAGCCGAUGUCGGAUUAGCUAGUUGGCGGGGUAAAGGCCCACCAAGGCGACGAUCCGUAGCUGGUCUGAGAGGAUGAUCAGCCACACUGGAACUGAGACACGGUCCAGACUCCUACGAGAGGCAGCAGUGGGGAAUAUUGGACAAUGGGCGCAAGCCUGAUCCAGCCAUACCGCGUGGGUGAAGAAGGCCUUCGGGUUGUAAAGCCCUUUUGUUGGGAAAGAAAAGCAGCAGGUUAAUACCCCGCUGUUCUGACGGUACCCAAAGAAUAAGCACCGGCUAACUUCGUG
rnacentral:rRNA from 1 species